AUUAAUACACCUAUAGUGCUUCUAUGUUUGUAACCCUUAGAUCUAUUCUUUGACUACAUACUAAUAGCCUUUGGAUCAAACACUAUUCCACCUAUCAUCAUCUACCUUCAUCAUUCUAUCCCCUACAUUACUCUUUCUAAGGGGUACAGAUCCAUAAACACCAACCUCUUGUGCUUUUGAAAGUAUUCUAUCUCAACUCGAAUAUGCAUACAUGUUUUAUUGAAUGUAAUAGAAAUUACAUGUAAAAUAAGUAUAAAUUAUAAUUG
rnacentral:lncRNA from 1 species